rnacentral:rRNA from 1 species
UUGGCGGACGGGUGAGUAACGCGUGGGUAACCUGCCUCAUACAGGGGGAUAACAGUUAGAAAUGACUGCUAAUACCGCAUAAGACCACAGCACCGCAUGGUGCAGGGGUAAAAACUCCGGUGGUAUGAGAUGGACCCGCGUCUGAUUAGCUAGUUGGUAAGGUAACGGCUUACCAAGGCGACGAUCAGUAGCCGACCUGAGAGGGUGACCGGCCACAUUGGGACUGAGACACGGCCCAA